rnacentral:lncRNA from 1 species
GAGGACUGGAAGACAUUUGGGUGUUGAGUCAAAUUUAAUGGAAAAAUUCAGUGCGAACCUGCAAUGUUUAUAAAUGGAGGGCAGUAAAACUUGAAAAUAUGCCGCACAGCUAUAUGUUUUUAUUAGUGCAAAAAAAGUAGUGCAUGUCUCCUUUCCAGGGAAAUAUAACAUUCUCCUCAAAACUUCCUGAAUGAAGAGUGACUGCAUAUGCAAUUUAGGCAGUUCCUAUGGAAAACUGCAUUGCUGGUUUUACACAAGUGCAACCUAUA